rnacentral:rRNA from 1 species
GUCGCGGAAAGGAGGCCUUCGGGCUCGACCUCCACCCUUUGUGAACACAACUUGUUGCUUCGGGGGCGACCCUGCCGUUUCGACGGCGAGCGCCCCCGGAGGCCUUCAAACACUGCAUCUUUGCGUCGGAGUUUAAGUAAAUUAAACAAAACUUUCAACAACGGAUCUCUUGGUUCUGGCAUCGAUGAAGAACGCAGCGAAAUGCGAUAAGUAAUGUGAAUUGCAGAAUUCAGUGAAUCAUCGAAUCUUUGAACGCACAUUGCGCCCCUUGGUAUUCCGAGGGGCAUGCCUGUUCGAGCGUCAUUUCACCACUCAAGCCUCGCUUGGUAUUGGGCGCCGCGGUGUUCCGCGCGCCUCAAAGUCUCCGGCUGAGCUGUCCGUCUCUAAGCGUUGUGAUUUCAUUAAUCGCUUCGGAGCGCGGGCGGUCGCGGCCGUUAAAUCUUUCACAAGGUUGACCUCGGAUCAGGUAGGGAUACCCGCUGAACUUAAGCAUAUCAAAAGGCGGAGGAAA